rnacentral:rRNA from 1 species
AUUGAACGCUGGCGGUAGGCCUAACACAUGCAAGUCGAACGGCAGCACAGUAAGAGCUUGCUCUUACGGGUGGCGAGUGGCGGACGGGUGAGGAAUACAUCGGAAUCUACUUUUUCGUGGGUGAUAACGUAGGGAAACUUACGCUAAUACCGCAUAGGACCUACGGGUGAAAGCAGGGGAUCUUCGGACCUUGCGCGAUUGAAUGAGCCGAUGUCGGAUUAGCUAGUUGGCGGGGUAAAGGCCCACCAAGGCGACGAUCCGUAGCUGGUCUGAGAGGAUGAUCAGCCACACUGGAACUGAGACACGGUCCAGACUCCUACGGGAGGCAGCAGUGGGGAAUAUUGGACAAUGGGCGCAAGCCUGAUCCAGCCAUACCGCGUGGGUGAAGAAGGCCUUCGGGUUGUAAAGCCCUUUUGUUGGGAAAGAAAAGCAGCAGGUUAAUACCCCGCUGUUCUGACGGUACCCAAAGAAUAAGCACCGGCUAACUUCGUG